GAUGAACGCUGGCGGCGUGCCUAAUACAUGCAAGUCGAGCGAGCAGAUAAGGAGCUUGCUCCUUUGACGUUAGCGGCGGACGGGUGAGUAACACGUGGGUAACCUACCUAUAAGACUGGAAUAACUCAGGGAAACCGGGGCUAAUGCCGGAUACCACUUAGAACCGCAUGGUUCUAAAGUGAAAGAUGGUUUUGCUAUCACUUCUCGAUGGACCCGCGCCGUAUUAGCUAGUUGGUAAGGUAACGGCUUACCAAGGCAACGAUACGUAGCCGACCUGAGAGGGUGAACGGCCACAGUGGAAGUGAGACACGGUACAGAGUCCGACGGGAGGCAGAGGUAGGGAAUCGACCGCGAUGGGCGAAAGCCUGCAGGAGCAGCGGCGCGUGAGUGAUGAAGGUCUGCGGAUCGUAAAACUCUGUUAUGAUGGAAGAACAAAUGUGUAAGUAACGGUGCACGUCUUGACGGUACCUAAUCAGAAAGCCACGGCUAACUACGUG
rnacentral:rRNA from 1 species